rnacentral:lncRNA from 1 species
GAAAGCCGGAGACUCCUGGAAGGGCCUGGGUGGAGGGUUUCACUCGUCCCUCUGAAGAAAUCUUAGAAUUAUGUUUUCUGCCUUAGUUGGGGUCCUGGUUGUUCGUGCUGUAUUCCCCGGAAGCUUAACGCUUUUUAUUCAGAGAACCUAAGCGUCUGGAGAGCAAACUCCCGUGGGCUCUAUCUAAGGCAUUUCCACUACCUUGAUCUCUUUGGAGGUCGCCUGCGUGCUUUGUGUCUCCUGGUUCUAAUCCUGGCGAGAAGCACUUGGACACUUGUAGGCUUAACACCUGAAAACAAUUUCGCUUAAACAGUCCAGUAAACACUUGUUAAGUGAACGUUGAGGAAUAGCUGUUUUAAUUUGGAAAAUUUUGACAUGUAGUUAUAACAAAACCCCAUAUUUAUUUUCUGCUAAUAGAUUUUUUUUUUUAAUUUCUCAAAACUGCAUAGCUCUUGUCCAUUUCCUAGUUGCCUGCUGAUUAUUGUGGCUUCAACAAUGCCAGGGUACAGCUUUUCAAAGCUGGUAGAAGACACAAUUGGAGACUUUAGCCAUUUUUAUUUAUACAUAUCCUUGUGCCAAGUAUUGGUAUUUUUGCUUUCUACCCUGGUAAAAUCUGUGGUUUGUGAUCAACCCUACCCAAUUAUUUUUCUAUGUAAA